UGUAGUAGUCAAGCGAUGGGGUGACGCAGGAAGGUAGCUGGGCCAGUGAGUGGUUGUACUGGUGUAAGCCUGUAGGGCGUUGUGUAGGCAAAUCCGCACAACAUGAGCCUGAGAGGUGAUGCGUAGCCGAUUGAGGUGAAUUCAGUGAUCCUAUGCUGCCGAGAAAAGCCUCUAGUGAGUUGGUACACGGCCCGUACCCCAAACCGACACAGGUGGUCAGGUAGAGAAUACCGAGGCGAUCGAGAGAACUGUGGUUAAGGAACUCGGCAAAAUGCCCCCGUAACUUCGGGAGAAGGGGGACCUGAUCUGGUGACCGGUCUUGCACCGUGAGCUGGGUUGGGUCGCAGAGACCAGAGAGAAGCGACUGUUUACUAAAAACACAGGUCCGUGCGAAGUCGUAAGACGAUGUAUACGGACUGACGCCUGCCCGGUGCCGGAAGGUUAAGAGGACCGGUUAGCGCUUCGGCGCGAAGCUGAGAAUUUAAGCCCCGGUAAACGGCGGUGGUAACUAUAACCAUCCUAAGGUAGCGAAAUUCCUUGUCGGGUAAGUUCCGACCUGCACGAAUGGCGUAACGACUUCUCUGCUGUCUCAACCACAGACUCGGCGAAAUUGCAUUACGAGUAAAGAUGCUCGUUACGCGCGGCAGGACGAAAAGACCCCGGGACCUUCACUAUAGCUUGGUAUUGGUGUUCGGUACGGUUUGUGUAGGAUAGGUGGGAGACUGUGAAAGCCACACGCCAGUGUGGUGGGAGUCGUCGUUGAAAUACCACUCUGAUCGUAUUGGACUUCUAACCUCGGGCCAUGAUCUGGUUCAGGGACAGUGCCUGGUGGGUAGUUUAACUGGGGCGGUUGCCUCCUAAAAUGUAACGGAGGCGCCCAAAGGUUCCCUCAGCCUGGUUGGCAAUCAGGUGUCGAGUGCAAGUGCACAAGGGAGCUUGACUGUGAGACUGACGGGUCGAGCAGGGACGAAAGUCGGGACUAGUGAUCCGGCACCGGCAUGUGGAAGCGGUGUCGCUCAACGGAUAAAAGGUACCCCGGGGAUAACAGGCUGAUCUUCCCCAAGAGUCCAUAUCGACGGGAUGGUUUGGCACCUCGAUGUCGGCUCGUCGCAUCCUGGGGCUGGAGUAGGUCCCAAGGGUUGGGCUGUUCGCCCAUUAAAGCGGCACGCGAGCUGGGUUUAGAACGUCGUGAGACAGUUCGGUCUCUAUCCGCCGCGCGCGUCAGAAACUUGAGGAAGGCUGUCCCUAGUACGAGAGGACCGGGACGGACGAACCUCUGGUGUGCCAGUUGUCCUGCCAAGGGCACUGCUGGUUAGCUACGUUCGGAAGGGAUAACCGCUGAAAGCAUCUAAGCGGGAAGCCUGUUCCAAGAUGAGGUUUCUCACCCCCUCGAGGGGGUAAGGCCCCCCACAGACCAUGGGGUUGAUAGGCCAGAACUGGAAGCGCGGUAACGUGUGGAGGUGACUGGUACUAAUCGGCCGAGGACUUACCAAC
rnacentral:rRNA from 1 species